UACGAAAUGUCACGUGAUGUAGGGUAACGAACGAUUAAUUGGUAGCCAAUAUUAAUCACUUUCUAUUCCAUCAAACGGAACGUCCAACUCGUACGACAACUCCCAUAUAAACCGUAGCCAAAGUGGCAAUUUUGACAAUCGCUUACGCUCACUAUCUAUUCCAUCGAUCGAUUACGAAGCGAUCGCCAACACCUUGUAGAAAACGAAACGAAAUGGCUAUUUUAUAAUCAGCUGGUGAAGUUUUGUGUUGUGUUUGUGCAAAUUUUUAUAAAUAACUUUGAAAUGCAUUCGCUUCGACUCUUGUGGGCUGCUCAUAAUGAAGAAGUGUGGCUCAGGCGUCAAAAAAGAAACGUUUCUCGGCGGUCCUUGGAGCAAAUCGGCGAAAUGCCGAUUUUAUGUUUCGGGAACCAUUUAGAUUGGAUAAACGAGCAUUUGUCUCCACCUACGGGCCCAUACCUGUUUGAGAGGAACCGUAGCAUUUCUACUGGAAGUUAAGGUUUUUUGUGCCUUGAGUUUGAGGCGACGGGCUCUUAACAGUGGAUCGUGUGUGUCUCGCAACAUUUGCUGCAGCGAACAACUAGUCGUUGCAUUAGGCAAGUUGUGGAAGCCCUCAAUCAUCCGAAUGUAAUAAGUAAAUGGGUGUUCCCACAAACGCAACAAGUUAAGCCCAGAGGUUCCAAAUAAGAUUUCAUUUAUCUGGUGUAAUAGGGUGCAUUGACUGCACCCAUGUAACCAUUGUGAAGUCCAUGGUAGAUGAGCAUCUUUUUUAUAAAAGUAUACCACUCAUUAAAUGUACAAAUGAUUUGUGAUCAUAACUUAAAAAUUUUUAAUGUCGAUGCUAAGUAUG